UCAGAACGAACGCUGGCGGCAGGCCUAACACAUGCAAGUCGAGCGAGACCUUCGGGUCUAGCGGCGGACGGGUUAGUAACGCGUGGGAAUAUACCCUUCACUACGGAAUAGCCUCGGGAAACUGGGAGUAAUACCGUAUACGCCCUUUGGGGGAAAGAUUUAUCGGUGAAGGAUUAGCCCGCGUCUGAUUAGAUAGUUGGUGGGGUAAUGGCCUACCAAGUCUACGAUCAGUAGCUGGUUUGAGAGGAUGAUCAGCAACACUGGGACUGAGACACGGCCCAGACUCCUACGGGAGGCAGCAGUGGGGAAUCUUAGACAAUGGGCGCAAGCCUGAUCUAGCCAUGCCGCGUGAGUGACGAAGGCCUUAGGGUCGUAAAGCUCUUUCGCCAGAGAUGAUAAUGACAGUAUCUGGUAAAGAAACCCCGGCUAACUCCGUGCCAGCAGCCGCGGUAAUACGGAGGGGGUUAGCGUUGUUCGGAAUUACUGGGCGUAAAGCGCACGUAGGCGGAUUGGAAAGUAUGGGGUGAAAUCCCAGGGCUCAACCCUGGAACGGCCUUGUAAACUCCCAGUCUAGAGUUCGAGAGAGGUGAGUGGAAUUCCAAGUGUAGAGGUGAAAUUCGUAGAUAUUUGGAGGAACACCAGUGGCGAAGGCGGCUCACUGGCUCGAUACUGACGCUGAGGUGCGAAAGUGUGGGGAGCAAACAGGAUUAGAUACCCUGGUAGUCCACACCGUAAACGAUGAAUGCCAGACGUC
rnacentral:rRNA from 1 species